ACCGCAGUCGUUGUCUCCUGCAGCCAAGUCCGCCGCCGCCUCCACCUUCGGCAUCGGUGCAUUGUCUUUUUUCGACAGUAACUCUCUCUGAUCAAGAGGGAGAUCGACGUCAAUGAUGGCCGAUGAGGGAGGUCGGAAGAGCGACGUCACUACGUCAGUUAUAACUGGCAAGGAAAAAUGAAAAAUCAGAGGCAGAGAUGGUCGA
rnacentral:lncRNA from 1 species